rnacentral:rRNA from 1 species
ACACAGAGCCUACGGGAGCAGCAGUGGGGAAUAUUGCACAAUGGGGGAAACCCUGAUGCAGCGACGCCGCGUGAAGGAAGAAGUAUCUCGGUAUGUAAACUUCUAUCAGCAGGGAAGAUAGUGACGGUACCUGACUAAGAAGCCCCGGCUAACUACGUGCC